rnacentral:rRNA from 1 species
UGGGGAAUCUUGCGCAAUGGGCGAAAGCCUGACGCAGCGACGCCGCGUGUGGGAGGAAGCUCUUCGGGGUGUAAACCACUGUUGCCCGGGACGAACCGCCUCAUUCGUGAGGCCUGACGGUACCGGGUGAGGAAGCACCGGCUAACUCUGUGCCAGCAGCCGCGGUAAUACAGAGGGUGCGAGCGUUGUCCGGAAUCACUGGGCGUAAAGGGCGCGUAGGUGGCACGGUAAGCGUGCGGUGAAAGCUCGGGGCUCAACCCCGAGUCGGCCGUGCGAACUGCCGCGCUGGAGCACUGUAGAGGCAGAUGGAAUUCCGGGUGUAGCGGUGGAAUGCGUAGAGAUCCGGAAGAACACCGGUGGCGAAGGCGGUCUGCUGGGCAGUUGCUGACACUGAGGCGCGACAGCGUGGGGAGCAAACAGG